AGGGUGCGAGCGUUAAUCGGAAUUACUGGGCGUAAAGCGCACGUAGGCGGCCUGUUAAGCUGGACGUGAAAGCCCCGGGCUCAACCGGGGAAUGGCCUCCAGAACUGGCAGGCUAGAGUACGGUAGAGGGUGGUGGAAUUUCCUGUGUAGCGGUGAAAUGCGUAGAUAUAGGAAGGAACAUCAGUGGCGAAGGCGGCCACCUGGACUGAUACUGACGCUGAGGUGCGAAAGCGUGGGGAGCA
rnacentral:rRNA from 1 species